CGGGGCGUGGCUCAGCUUGGUAGAGCACCUGGUUUGGGACCAGGGGGUCGUCGGUUCAAAUCCGGCCGCCCCGACCA
rnacentral:tRNA from 2 species